GACAGAGGUCCCGAGCGUUAGACGGAAUCACUGGGCUUAAAGCGUGUGUAGGCGGAAGGGUAAGUACCUUGUGAAAUCCCACGGCUCAACCGUGGAACUGCUUGGUAUACUGCUUUUCUUGAGCCACUUAGGGGCAACCGGAGCAAAUGGUGGAGCGGUGAAAUGCGUAGAUAUCAUUUGGAACGCCAAUGGUGAAAACAGGUUGCUGGGAGUGUGCUGACGCUGAGACACGAAAGCCAGGGGAGCAAACGGG
rnacentral:rRNA from 1 species